ensembl:lncRNA
UCUAGAAGUUGGGAUUACACCAGUGGGCAGACACAAGGCACGUGUGCCCUUGUGAAGCUUAUAGUGUAGAAGGGGAAGACAGCAUUUGUCCUGAGGAAUCCGGGGACGGAGUCUCCCACACAUGUGCAGUUGAUGCAAGAAUGGCCAGGCAGAUGUCAGACACAGCGGUUUUGUAGGCCGAUGAUCCUGAAGCAGAUUUUGUUUCUGUGAGGCACCGGAAACAAACUGUUUCCCCUUUCACAUGAUGCAGCUGUGAGGGCUCUUAAGCGGCCGUCAGAUCUCCGGAGCGUCUCAUCUCACAGAUAUUCUCUCCUUUGAUCCCUCCAAAGACGUCUGAACUCAUAUACCACAGGAGCUAAUUUUCAACUUGGAAAAUUUGAUCAUAAUAAUUGUAGACCUAUAGACUUCUGCCAGUUUGCAAGACAUGUGGAUAAGAUCAUCCCAGGCUGCAAAAACGACUCUUGGCACUGCGCAGCUGAUGAGCAGAGAGAUCCGGCAGCAGAAAUCCAACUGCUUCAGAUCUGCAAAUCUCAGCCCCUCCUUUCCCUGGCACGGCUGGUCCCACUGGUCGCUUAUUCUAGACCCCCCCCCACAUUCCCUGUGCUCUUGCCUUCUCUACGGAAGGGGGCUGGAGAAGCGAAAUCCUCAUUUUUCACCUUCUCAGCCUUGCCUCCAUCUCGGUACGGGCGAGUACACAGAUUUGGUGACUGAUGUGCUGAUGGAAUUCUGCAAAAGCAGGGCCCAGGACAUUGUUUGCUUUUCGGGUAAAAAGGGCAAGUUGAGCUUAUAGGGCUCCCCCAAGUCUUGUCUUGCACACAGCCUUACAGAAAAAGGACUGUUUGUCCCCAUCUACUGGCACGAGGGGAUAUGCCCUGGGGAACCCUGGAGACCCUCAGAGGGUUUAGCAUCAGAACAUGCAGAGCAGCUGCUCUUAUUAGAUGCGAGAAAAAUUUGCUCUUGUUAUUUCAGACCCAUGAAGGCUGGGUUCUCUGUUACCUGCAGCCAAACGCAUUUUAUAGUACACCUGUGAUGCCCAGUGUGGAGCCUGCAGAUACGCUUGUUCUGCGGAGACCUUCAGCAGGUCCUGUAGCCAACUUCAAGCCAGGGCCGGACGUAGGGAACAGGAAGCGAAGAAAAGUUAGACUGCCUGAGGCGUGGGUGAGGAACAUCCGCAGGUGUCAAGUCAUUCCCGGGUGGCCAGCAGCUUGGAGUGUCCUGGCCCUGUCACUACUCCACCGAAGGAGCUGAGAGCCCAUGGCACUGGGAGGGAAAGCACGAACGAAGCAAAACCUGGCUGAGUAAAACCAGAACAUGGCGGAGUGGCCUUUUUCCAGGGUAUUGUGUCAUUCAGGGCUUCACGCACUUCCUUUUUCUUACCCAGAUUGGUGGAAGAGAAGGGAAUAAGACCUGGGAACUGCAAGCAGCAUUAAAAAGUCCACUAAAGGUCUUUGCAAUGUAAAAUAAGUUAACAGCUGAGUUUAGGCUUGGGGCUAAAAAUUUCAUAGGUCUGAUAAUUACAAGAGAAGUUUUUCCCUUUUUGUUUUGUUUUGCUUUUCCAAAGGGCAGUGAAAGCGAUGAGGAAGGAAAACAAACAAUGUGGCAGGUUAGGCAGGAACCAGAGAGCAAGUUUUUUUCUUUCUUUUUUUUGGGUAUCAGAGAUUGAACUCGGGACCUUGCGCUUGCGAGGGAAGCAGCAGAACCACUGAGCUACAUCCCUGGCCCGAGGAACUUUUCAAUUACGCAUAUUACGAUACAAAUGCUACGAGUAGUUCAAUGUAUGGCGCAAGAACAUUAAGCCACCCAUAGGGAACUCUGAACGAAAUUGUUUGCUCUAAUCAUCUCCACUCUUGUAUAUGUUUACUAUAAAAUUCUGUUGAAUUAAAAUGUGUGAGGAUUAAUAAAGGAGAAAGGGCCAUGUCUACCUUGCGUCAACUCUAGGAAAGUGACGAAAGAGUUGCUACAAGGAAAAACAAAGCAGAAAAAGGAAUUCUGCCGAAGCAAAAAAAUAAUAGUAAACAUGUAUCAAGUACUCACUGAGUGGCAAGUCCUGAUUGGAGUAGUUGAAAGUGUAAUUUACUUAAUCUGCCCAACAGCUCUACAAAGCUCUAUAAAUUGAUUUCGCAGAUGGGGAAAUGGAGGAACGGAGAAGUUACCUAUCCCGUCCAAGGCGCAGCCAUCUAUUCUAGCAGUCUGCUGGCACAUCUGUGUUCUUAACUCAGCACUGUCUACGGCCUCUGUCAGAGCCGAAGUGACGAAGAAAAGUUUCUGGGAUUUCAAGAUGGGGUGGGAAUGUUAGUUUGUCUCAAUUGCCUGAAAACACCUCAAUCACUUGAAAACUUCCCGUAAUCGCUGUCUGAAAUACGAUCCCAUCUUCCUAGAAAAUACAGUUCAUCUCACGGUCUGUUUCAAUUACCUUCCAGCUUUGUUUUUGAAGACGAAAAUAUGGAACAAUUUCCCAUGUUGCCUAAAAUCAAAUGAAGCCUUUUAAAAAUUGUAAAAUCGGUUUUCAAGAGAAAUAUUUGUCUAACCAAAAAACCGCUUCUCUGAUGAAGCAAUUAAGCCUCAAUAAAACAGACCGUUAUCAUUGCUUAAAGACCAUUUAAAAUGCAAAGCGGAAGCAGAACUUGACUGGGGCCAUGAAUUCAUCCAGCUCUCCGUGGGUAUCUAAAGUUCUGAAAUUUUCUCAAAUUGCACAUGUGGUUUUUAAGUAUUUAAAUACUUGAGCUUUUGCCUGUGCGUACUGCAAAAAAGACAAAGAGAUCUUUGCUGUCUUUUGGCUAACUGACACGCAGGCCUGCACCUGAAAAUUAUUAUUUUAUAAGGUACAUGCGGCUGGAAGGGGCCAGGGCCUCAAGGAGAAAGAACACGAAGUUCUUUAUUUUUAUAGGUGUGCGCAGAAAUUAGCUAUGACUUCACUACCUGCCACCUCUCAUGGGGGGUGUGGCUCCCAGAGAUUCCGCUCCUGCUACUUUAAGUAAUGACACGGGGUUCCUGCACAGCAAGAGGUAGAUUUUAC